GAUGAAGAACGCAGCGAAAUGCGAUACGUAAUGUGAAUUGCAGAAUUCAGUGAAUCAUCGAAUCUUUGAACGCAUAUUGCGCUCUCUGGUAUUCCGGAGAGCAUGCUUGUUUGAGUAUCAGUAAACACCUCAACUCCCUUUUCUUUUUUGAAAUUGGAGCUGGACUUGAGUGAUCCCAACGCUUUCUUCCAAGAAAGUGGCGGGUUGCUUGAAAUGCAGGUGCAGCUGAACUUUUCUCUGAGCUAUAAGCAUAUCUAUUUAGUCUGCCUAAAAAACAGAUUAUUACCUUUGCUGCAGCUAACAUAAAGGAGACUAGUUCUUGUGCUGACUGAUGCAGGAUUCACAGAGACAGCUUCGGCUGACUUUGUAAACUCGAUCUCAAAUCAAGUAAGACUACCCGCUGAACUUAAGCAUAUCAAUAAGCGGAGCA
rnacentral:misc_RNA from 1 species